rnacentral:lncRNA from 1 species
UAAAUCUCCCAAUUCAUCACAAAAUCUGAAAUUCACCAACUUCAACUAGAAAAGAAAGAGUUUAGCCACUCAUGGUGGACUAAAUACACAAAAAGAUGAAAAGAAAAGAAAAGAAGAAAAAUGCUGGAGAGUUUCUGGCGAGUUGAGUUGCUGAUCACCAGAUGCCUUUGCUGGUUUGGAGGCUCUCCUUUUAUAGCUGAAGAAUUCUAUCUAUCUAGGGUUUUGAAAUCCCUUUUUGAUUUG